CGUAUGUGCUGAGCAAUCUAAUGAAAUACAUCGAGAGAGCAGACGACGCAUAAUGAGGUCCCUCUCCACCGUCUCUCCACAACGCCUUGAUAACGUCACGCUCAACAGCGCCAAUGAGAGCGCUUCUUCCCGCACAGCUGAUCGGUGGGGCCGCGGGGCAUCUGGAUGCGAGGCGGCCAGCAGACACCAAGCGUAAUGUCGGAAUCGUCGUAAUACGAAAGUGACGUCGCGUCGCUUCCAAGCGAUUCUGGGGAUUACAGCGUUGAAGAAAUUGUGUUAGAUUACGACCCUUACUCCACAGACCAUCUGCCACUUGACCCUGCCGCAAGUGAGAGUGCAGGCAGUGAAAACGAACCGUCCGGUGGCGACGACACUUUCAGAUGCCUCUGCACUCGCUGUACUCCAGUGGAACCUGACGAACACAGGGUGUCGGUUGCCUCGGCAAUUGCAGGGAUAGUUGUAUCGCCGAUCACCUGCUCCUCAAUGGCGUUUGUCUGCGGAGGGAGCUCGCUGGUUGACGCACCCAUCUUUUGUCGUGAUGACCGCCGCGUAUUUUUGAGCGACUUGCAGUAGGCGCCUCCGCUUCACUGCGUAUUGUUUCUUCACAAGCUGGAUUUAUGGGUACCUUGGCAUAAGAAACCGAAGGCGGAUACCAGGAUGUCCUGUGCGCAGGAUCAGGACGCUGUACCCAUCAAUUUCAUAUAGUGGAUCAUACGAGCCACAUAAGUGUCAAGUGGGUCACUGUAUGCAGACCAGGCAUAUCCAUUGUAGGACUUAUCGCUAUUGUCAUUGUUGUUUUUGUAUGUUCAUAAAAGCUAGUUUCCUAUUGAGAAGACGUAACUGUGUACACUAUCAAAACAUUAUCGAUGGUUCCUGCUUUUCAUAACCAUAUGUGGUGAAGAAAUGUUGCAUUGUGAAGUCACAAAUUAGUGAGCCGUUAUGCUGGUCAUAGUGUUAGUCAUAUGUGCAUGCACUGACCGUUUCGAAAGUUUUAACCCUUUGUAACAGUUCAAGAAGCAUGUCUCACAAGCAGUGGAUACUUGUAGUCAGAUAUUGCAAGUACAGCGGAAUGUGUAAAUAAUUUUCAUUGCAAAUCAUUCUGGAGUACAAACCAAGGUUAUCACACGACGAGGACAAGCAGUGGUACUUGUGUAAUGCAUAUUUUGAAUACCACCUUUCAGCUUCACCAUGGAGAGGUUUCUUUUGUACCACGUUUUGCACCUAUGUCGGGAAAAAAAAAAAGAAACUGGUGCGUUUUGCCCUGAGCAUGGAUUUACGCUUCAUUUCUAAAUGGAGGAUAGAGGUUAGUGCCAAUGUGUGUAUUACCACAGUUUUAUCUCCUCCUGUGUACAUGGAAGCUUUGUGAACAUGAUACAAAUAUUAAAUGUGUCAAACAAAAGCUGAUUACAUUAUGCCAGUAGAUUUUAUUUCCCUCCUCCGUGCUAUCUUUCCAGUUGCUGGGCGGAGAGCUGGCAUUUAGGUUCAUGUUGACAGGGUGGUAACAGGGUCUUUCCUUCUAUACAAUAUACGAGCAGUGCAGAUGUGAAGCUUGAUGUGCUGAAACAAGAAAAAACUUACUAUCAUGCACAUAUCAAAGCCCAAUACCACCAUAUUCUUGAACCCUUGGAAUGUCCUCUGUGCACUGUAACUGGAAUUGUACUAAAAGUCACAGGUGUGCAUAUAUAGUUCAUUAGACGCCGUUCAUAGCCAGUUACUAAAAUUGCAUUUUAAAAAAGUUCAUCAGAAUCACAAACACAAUUCAGAAAAGUGUUUGCAGCUGGACCAAAAACAAUAAUGUGCAUAUUGGAGGGUUCAUAACGCAGUGUUUGUCUCUGCAUAAAACAUGUGGUGGCCCUGGAAAGGGUCUGUUUUUUACUUUAGUUUCUCUGGCUCAUUCAGUGUGUGACGCAGGGGGAAGCCUCACUACUAGAACCUAAAAAUAAAAAUUCGCUAUAUAACAACAUCAAGCCUUCACAGUAUGUGAGCAAUAUAUAUCACUCGUAGAGGCUGAUACUCCGCAUGAGCUGCCGGUUUCACAACAUGAACGUUCACUCUGACUCAGAAUGUACUCACUGUACUCAGACUCACUGUAGAACACAGAUAUUAA